GACGAACGCUGGCGGCGUGCUUAACACAUGCAAGUCGAACGGAAAGGCCCUGCUUGCAGGGUACUCGAGUGGCGAACGGGUGAGUAACACGUGGGUGAUCUGCCCUGCACUUCGGGAUAAGCCUGGGAAACUGGGUCUAAUACCGGAUAGGAGCCAUUUUUUAGUGUGAUGGUUGGAAAGUUUUUUCGGUGUAGGAUGAGCUCGCGGCCUAUCAGCUUGUUGGUGGGGUAAUGGCCUACCAAGGCGGCGACGGGUAGCCGGCCUGAGAGGGUGGACGGCCACAUUGGGACUGAGAUACGGCCCAG
rnacentral:rRNA from 1 species